GUUUGUUUAAAGUUGUACAUGUAUUUCAAAUCUUGUUCUUAAAAACUGAAACAAUCCAAAGUGAUAUGCAAUCAUGAAAGUUUCUAUGCUUAUAGAUACACCAUUUGUCCAAGCAUCCAGUAGCAGAUCUUCUUCUUCUUUGAACAAUGAAAAAAAAAAACCCAACAACAUAAAAAUGUACUAGUUUAAAAAAUACACUCACUUGUCACACCAACUUUCAACAUUGUAUAUAUAAUUUAUAGAGUCAAAAAUAUCAAUAAAAAUUUUCUUUUUCUCAUAAACUUAAACUUUUUGUCAUGAACAAAACAUCAGAAUAUAUUUAUGUGUAUAUAGAUAAUGAAAUAUUUUGUUACUGUGCUAAGGGACAUAUAACGGACAACAUCCACUGGGCAACCCUGAUAUCUGGAUAAGGCCUGAUAACUUGGUAUAUCUUUCCUCACUUUAGUUUCCAAAAGUGACUUUGGUUUGAAUAAAAUAACAUCAGUGUACAAGAUCAAAUGGAACAAAAAAAAUAAUAUAAACAUGAUUACAUCUAGGAAUAAACACUUAAGGAAAAGUGGAAACAGAAAAGUUCAAUGGUUGUAUAAAUCUAGAACAUAAGACAUCAACAUAUCAUUUCAUUUCAAGACAAAAGUACAUAUACAGAAGUGAAUGUAUAGAUAUUAAUUUGUAAUCUACAUUAUGUUCUGAUUCAUUAGACAAGGGUAAUAACUAUAGUAUUAGCCCCCGAAAACACUAAUCCUUGAUCAAAACUAGUAGAACUUCAACAUUUUGUUUUUAUCCAAGACAAAGAAUUAGUUUUAUAUAAUUAGUGUUAUAUCCUGUGAAUAGAAUAACAGUACCUAUAUCUAAUGCAAUUGAAUGAUUGAAAAUAAAAAUAAAGCUGAGAUAGACAUUAAAACCCAUUAAAAUGUUGUCAUUGUAGUUUUUUUUUUUAUAACAAAAAUUCAGACUUUAUGAUUUUUCCAAUGCUUAAUGCACUUUUGAUAGCAAAGCUGACAGACGUAUAAAUCACAUUUUAAUGACAUCAGAACAUGUACAAAUAAACUGUUUUUCAAAUGAAAUUAAAGUUUCAUGAACAAAACAAAAAAAAUAAACAGAUUGUCGAAUGAUGCUGAAGUAAAAAAUAUUAUUCAGGUGUCUACAAUAUAUUUAAUGUCUUGAACAUUAUUUAAUGUGUGUAUAUAUAUAUAUAUAUAUAUAU